rnacentral:rRNA from 1 species
CCUGAGAAACCCAAAAGAUCGAAUGGGGAGAUUCAUCGUCAGCGAUCUCGGCACGUGCGCGGUUCGCGAUGUCGGGAGGUUUCGGCCUCUCGGCACGCGUCCGCGUUUCAUUGCCGGGUGUCGUCGGCGUGCACUUCUCCCCUAGUAGGACGUCGCGACCCGUUGGGUGUCGGUCUACGGCCCGGGUGGGAGCCUGUCACGCGUAACGCCUCGCGGCGUCGCGUGGCAGACCCCCGGUCGCCCGACCAGCUGCCCGGCGGUACUCGCACGGUAUAGAGCCGCAAAUAUUCGAACUGCGUCCGGCCCGCCGCAAGCUGUGCCAGUGUUUACCCGGAUGUACGGACCUAGCGCCGUCACCGGGCCUGGCCGGCUGUUGGCCGGCGGUGUCCUGGGACCGGCUCUAAAUUUUACCGGUCAGCGACGCUACUGCUUUGG